GUAAACCUCCGGCUAGUGCGGAGCUGCGUAUUAAGAUGAAUAUUAAUACUACAGUAUUUCUGUUAUUCGAAACAGUAUUAUAUAUUUAUGACGUUGUCAUAUAUGUAGACGAAUGCACGUGGUAAUUUAAUGUUAGUCAUUAAUGCAUGUGUUUUCUGUUGAAAUGUCAAUAAUUGUUUACAUUUUAUGAUCAGUGUAACAGAUACGUGAGAAACCAUUUCAGUUUGUUAAUUGCAUCACAACUACGCGUCUCAUAGGAGAGAUUUCAACACACUAACUGCUGCAUUGGAGCGAGUGAAGGAUUUUUUUUUGUUCAAAUAAAUAUGACAUGUUUGGUAAUACUAAGCUGAAGGUUGUGAGGGGCUGUGUCUGGUACAGUAAAACUACAGUGUAGCUGGUGUUAGUUCUGUCCAGAUCUCCUCCGGUACAGACAGCUCCUUCACUCCAGUGGAGAUCAGACAGUUUCCUGUUGUUUUCUGUCUUCAGCCUGAAGAUGCGCUGCUGACCUGCAGUUCAAUAUGUGGAUAAAUGCUGGGAACAGAAUUUCACAUACAGUACCUGCUGUUGUACCAAUGUGCUGAAUAAUUGUGUUUACACUGGUAAAUUAAAAAAACAACCAAGCUCAAACACUCUCUUUUGAUACCUCCACUCUAGAAAAAAGCUCUGUGUCGGUGAGAGCUGUUCCUCGCCUUGAUGAGGAUUCAGUCACACAGCGGUGGGCUGCUUUGAGCCCGAGUCUAAGCCGGCAGGACAGAACCUGGACUGGACACAAGGUCAGCGCAGGGCUCACACAUGCCUACAAGCGACAGUUUUGCCGACACCAGUGAACCGAGACAGCAGGGGUUUGGAGUGCGGGAGGAAGCUGGAGCACCAGGACAAACCCACUCUGCCAUGGGGAGAACAUGCAGACUCCACACAGACAGCACCCAGUCAAGACCCAAACCCAGGACUAUGAGAGGAGUCAGGAAUGUCAGUGCUGAGAUGAGCAAGGAAAGGAAGAGGCAGACUGUGUGCCUGCUCCCGGAGAAGAGGAGCAGACUCUGGCUGGACAGGGAGGGAGGUAAGAGCGCCUGUGUCUGGGAGCUCAGGGUGACAGCAGUGCAGGAGGGAAGGUGAACAUCCUGACAGGAGGACAGGAGCUGACAGAGAGGGGCAAGAGGGGCUGAGAGCCGGAGAAGAUCACAUUCAGAGAGAACAACUGUUUAUUAAAAGUUAAAACAAUUCACAGUAAUUAUGAAAAGACACGUUUCUCAGGCAUUUGUGUUUCUAUAUUUAUACAUUACAGUAUCAAGCAGUCAAUAGUUACCUAAUAUUGAAUGGAAAUUCUAGCUAAAUCUGAAUUAAAAACUACCAACAUAGAUGCUACACUGCAAGAGAUACUGAAAUGUGUUAAAUACAAACAAAAGUUACAGAGAGGAUAGAAGCUGUGUAAAACCGAUAGCAGUACUGUGAUAAUAAAAAAGUCUAUUUUUUAAGUUAGGAAAUUGUUAAAGGGAAUUCAAUGCAUUUAGUUACGGUCUGAUGUUAUUGAAUAACCUCAAUUAAUGAUCACAUUUAUACAGCAUUUCACACGUAGAAACCUAGGCAAUUAUAGGAGCAUUUACUUUAUUAGUACAUGAAAGCAUUAAAUUGUUGAAAAAUGAAGAUUGUUUGGAGGUACAAAUCAUCUUAUUGUUUAAACAGCUGAUUGUCUUGAAUCUUAUGAUACUGUAUUGAUUUUUGACUGAGAUGUUUUGUAUCAUAGUGUUGUACUGUUGCUAUAUUUUAUUAUUGUCAUAUGGUAUGAGCUCUUGAGGUGCAAGACAAAUUCCUUCAGGGGCAAUAAAGGUUAAUUCAGUUCAACAGAACAGUAAUAGUUUCCAAUAAAAAAAUCACGCCUGUAGCAAUAAACAGUUUAAAACUUCAAAACAAAAUCAUGAGAAAUGAAAAUUCAAUUUACAAUUACAGUUAACUUCCUUAAACAUAAGAUUCAGAUGUCUUUACAGAAUGAAGUAAAAAAAAAA